AUUGAACGCUGGCGGCAGGCUUAACACAUGUAAGUCGAGCGGAGAGAGGUAGCUUGCUACUGAUCUUAGCGGCGGACGGGUGAGUAAUGCUUAGGAAUCUGCCUAUUAGUGGGGGACAACAUUUCGAAAGGAAUGCUAAUACCGCAUACGUCCUACGGGAGAAAGCAGGGGAUCUUCGGACCUUGCGCUAAUAGAUGAGCCUAAGUCGGAUUAGCUAGUUGGUGGGGUAAAGGCCUACCAAGGCGACGAUCUGUAGCGGGUCUGAGAGGAUGGUCCGACACACUGGGACUGAGACACGGCCCAGACUCCUACGGGAGGCAGCAGUGGGGAAUAUUGGACAAUGGGCGGAAGCCUGAUCCAGCCAUGCCGCGUGUGUGAAGAAGGCCUUAUGGUUGUAAAGCACUUUAAGCGAGGAGGAGGCUACUUUAGUUAAUACCUAGAGAUAGUGGACGUUACUCGCAGAAUAAGCACCGGCUAACUCUGUGCCAGCCGCCGCGGUAAUAC
rnacentral:rRNA from 1 species